AACGUAGGUCACAAGCGUUGUCCGGAAUUACUGGGUGUAAAGGGAGCGCAGGCGGGAAGACAAGUUGGAAGUGAAAUCUAUGGGCUCAACCCAUAAACUGCUUUCAAAACUGUUUUUCUUGAGUAGUGCAGAGGUAGGUGGAAUUCCCGGUGUAGCGGUGGAAUGCGUAGAUAUCGGGAGGAACACCAGUGGCGAAGGCGGCCUACUGGGCACCAACUGACGCUGAGGCUCGAAAGUGUGGGUAGCAAACAGG
rnacentral:rRNA from 1 species